rnacentral:lncRNA from 1 species
UGAAUUUAUGGUUCUAAUUGAUCGGCUUAUGACAAUAUUGGCAUGAAUGGCUGAAUUGGUAUUUGUGUUGAAAUGUAUAAACUAUUGUUUGCCUUGAUAGGCUAGAUAAUGAUAAAAUUGUCAUGUCAUGCUGUUGCAAAUUUUAUUGUAUGGUGGGUUUAGCUUGCUGCAGUGGGCUGGUUCUGUGGACUAGCCUAUUAGAGGGG